rnacentral:lncRNA from 1 species
ACAUAUAAAAAUUAAAUUUUAUAUGGUAUCAUUCAUUACAUUUGUAGAGAUCUGAAUAAAAUUUAUUUUAUUUUAUAUAUUCAAUCGAUACGUUUAUUUUAUUUAGAAAUAAACUUAACUAUAAAUGUGAAUCAAUAGGAUUCGAACUUGGAAUUUCGAUCGAGUAUCUACCACAAAGCUCUUUACCACUUAUGUUAGGAACGGUCGGUUGUAAAAUAUUAAAUAUAUAUGUUUAUU